GAUGAACGCUGGCGGCGUGCCUAAUACAUGCAAGUCGAGCGAACAGAUAAGGAGCUUGCUCCUUUGACGUUAGCGGCGGACGGGUGAGUAACACGUGGGUAACCUACCUAUAAGACUGGAAUAACUCCGGGAAACCGGGGCUAAUGCCGGAUAACAUUUAGAACCGCAUGGUUCUAAAGUGAAAGAUGGUUUUGCUAUCACUUAUAGAUGGACCCGCGCCGUAUUAGCUAGCUGGUAAGGUAACGGCUUACCAAGGCAACGAUACGUAGCCGACCUGAGAGGGUGAUCGGCCACACUGGAACUGAGACACGGUCCAGACUCCUACGGGAGGCAGCAGUAGGGAAUCUUCCGCAAUGGGCGAAAGCCUGACGGAGCAACGCCGCGUGAGUGAUGAAGGUCUUCGGAUCGUAAAACUCUGUUAUUAGGGAAGAACAAAUGUGUAAGUAACUGUGCACGUCUUGACGGUACCUAAUCAGAAAGCCACGGCUAACUACGU
rnacentral:rRNA from 1 species